rnacentral:rRNA from 1 species
GGCGCWAGCCUGAUGCAGCCAUGCCGCGUGUGUGAAGAAGGCCUUCGGGUUGUAAAGCACUUUCAGUCUUGAGGAAAGGUUAGUAGUUAAUACCUGCUAGCUGUGACGUUACUGACAGAAGAAGCACCGGCUAACUCCGUGCCAGCAGCCGCGGUAAUACGGAGGGUGCGAGCGUUAAUCGGAAUUACUGGGCGUAAAGCGUACGCAGGCGGUUUGUUAAGCGAGAUGUGAAAGCCCCGGGCUCAACCUGGGAACUGCAUUUCGAACUGGCAAACUAGAGUGUGAUAGAGGGUGGUAGAAUUUCAGGUGUAGCGGUGAAAUGCGUAGAGAUCUGAAGGAAUACCGAUGGCGAAGGCAGCCACCUGGGUCAACACUGACGCUCAUGUACGAAAGCGUGGGGAGCAAACAGGAUUAGAUACCCUGGUAGUCCACGCCGUAACCGAUGUCUACUAGAAGCUCGGAGCCUCGGCUCUGUUUUUCAAAGCUAACGCAUUAAGUAGACCGCCUGG